CUCCCGGCGGCGCGGGGGCCCCACCCUGGCUCGCUCCCUGCGGUCAUUCCCGCGGCCUCCAGCUCUCGGCUUCUCGGGAAAUAACUCUGCUUAGGAGUCAGCGAAGCACCUCUUGUGGUACCUGCAAACAUAAGCCCCAUUAGAGGGCUUCCUCUGGGAGCAGCUGCAAAAACUGGGGCACCAGACAUGUGGACGAGCUCCUUUUUGGGAUAUACUGAUGACCUACCUGGAGUGAGGCAGAGGGAGAACAGGAAGAUGUCCCUACCAGUCUCUGUGGUUUCUGGAGAAUAUUGCAGUUGGCCUCCAGAAGUGUUUUAAAUUAGAAACCUGCCCCUCAAGCCAAAGCUUUAAAGUUUUAAAAAUAAGCACUGCUGGCACAAGAACGGACACUCAGAUCAAUGGAACAGAAUAAAGAACCCAGAAAUGGACCCACAAACGUAUGGCCAACUAAUCUUUGACAAAGCAGCAAAGAAUAUCCAAUGGAAUAAAGACCGUCUCUUCAAGUGGUGCUGGGAAAACUGGACAGCGACAUGCAGAAGAAUGAACCUGGGCCACUUUCUUACACCAUACACAGAAGUAAACUCAAAAUGGAUGAAAGACCUAGAUGUAAGACAGGAAGCCAUCAAAAUACUCGAGGAGAAAGCAGGCAAAAACUUCUUUGAUCUUGGCCGCAGCAACUUCUUACUCAAUACGUCUCUGGAGACAAGGGAAACAAAAGCAAAAAUGAACUACUGGGACCUCAUCAAAAUAAAAAGCUUCUGCUUUUUAUUAAAAGCGAAGGAAAUAAUCAGCAAAACUAGAAGGCAACCGACAGAAUGGGAGAAGAUAUUUGCAAAUGACAUAUCAGAUAAAGGGUUAGUGUCCAAAAUCUAUAAAGAACUUAUCAAACUCAACACCCAAAAAACAAAUAAUCCAGUGAAGAAAUGGGCAAAAGACAUGAACAGACACUUCUUCAAGGAAGUGCAUCCAGAUGGCCAACCAACACAUGAAAAAAUGCUCAACAUCACUCAUCAUCAGGGAAAUACAAAUCAAGACCACAAUGAGAUACCACCUCACCCCUGUCAGAACGGCUAACAUUAACAACUCAGGCAACAACAGAUGUUGGCAAGGAUGCUGAGAAAGAGGAUCUCUUUUGCACUGCUGGUGGGAAUGCAAGCUGGUGCAGCCACUCUGGAAAACAGUAUGGAUGUUCCUCAAAAAAUUAAAAAUAGAACUACCCUAUGACCCAGCAAUUGCUCUACUAGGCAUUUAUCCACGGGAUACAGGUGUGCUGUUUCGAAGGGACACAUGCACCCCCAUGUUUAUAGUAACACUAUCAACAAUAGCCAAAGUAUGGCAAGAGCCCAAAUUUCCAUCAAUGGAUGAAUGGAUAAAGAAGAUGUGGUAUAUAUAUAUAACGGAGUAUUACUUGGCAAUCAAAAAGAAUGAAAUCUUGCCAUUUGCAACUACGUGGAUGGAACUGGAGGGUAUUAUGCUAAGUGAAAUUAGUCAGAGAAAGACAAAAAUCAUAUGACUUCACUCAUCUGAGGACUUUAAGAGACAAAACAGAUGAACAUAUGGGAAGGGAAACAAAUAUAAAAACAAGGAGGGGGACAAAACAGAAGAGACUCAUAAAUAUAGAGAACAAACUGAGGGUUGCUGGAGGGGUUGUGGGAGGGGGGGUGGGCUAAAUGGGUAAAGGGCACUAAGGAAUCUACUCCUGAAAUCAUUGUUGCACUAUAUGCUAACUACUUUGGAUAUAAAUUUUAAAAAAUUAAAAAAUUAAAAAACUAGAAAAUAAAAAAAAUAUAUUAAGUGUAAAAAAAAAUAAGCACUGAGUCAUGUUGUUAUAGGGUAGGCAAAUGAUCCUCCCUGAUUAUGAAAAGUCUGAACCGGUGAUAGGUUAUUCCUGAACGUUUAGAAAAGAGGCACUGAGAGUACUUUGGUUUGGGUUCAAGUAAAAAGCCUUCAAAUGAAGAUUUUGGAAUUGAAGAGCUCCAUCUUCAGGAUGCAUCAUCUGACAUCUCAAUGUUCACAAAGCCUGACUGAAAGAAGCCAUACCUAAACCAGCCCACUCAGCAUUAACACACACCUCUUUUCUUUUAGAAUUUUACUUUAAUAUAGAGUGGAAAAACAAACAAACAAACAAACAAAAAACCCAAACCCUAACAGGUUAAAAUCAAACAACCACUCUACACAGACAAAACCUUCACAGAGGUCAACUGAAGUAAUCCAGAGCUAAAACUGAAUUGUGCAGAUUUUCAAUGAAGUCACCAGUUGUGUAACACAAAGGCAAUUAUUUACACACUAGGCAAGCCCUCUAAGAAAUGUGCCCGAAGAAGCAUUAACCUUUGUUUUUUGUGUGUGCCAUCCUGAAGAUUUGCACAUUUUUUUUUUUAGAUAAUUUAACAUUUUUAAUAGAAUGUGAUCUCUACCGUGCGGUAAUGCUGUGGUACUCUUUAUUUAGGAUUCCUCAUCCUAAAACUUGACAUUUCCCCAGAGGAGCUUUGAUUCUGCUUUAGAAGUUUCAAUAUAGAUUAAAAUCUUUAUCAAAAAUCAAUACAGAGGGAGGUGACAGAGGAUGCAACAUAUAUGCUCAAGUUACCUCUUUGUAUGUUUAGAAAUUACUCCUUCAAGGUAUUUGCACCAGAGAGCUUUGCCCUGCUUAAUAUUCAGUAGUACAGGUUUGAAUCAUCAGAACCUUGGCAAGACCUUAAAUUAUUAACAACUACCUCUUGGGGCAAGUCCGUGUUACUGAGUUAUGACAAAUUUAUUAUCAUGAAGGAAAACAAGCACAGCCAGUCAUCCUAAAAAUGCCCCAACCACUGCUUCUCAAUAUAGAAAGACUAAAACUACAUGUUUAUCAUACAACAAAUCUCGUCUCUGUCCUCUGAAAUUCCCCUAGUUUCAUUCAUUAAAAGGGGAUUAAAAAAAAAAAAGACUUAAAGAGCACUUUACAGCAUCAUUCAGCUUUCCUAUGAAAUACUCAACAUCUUUUUUUUUUUUAAUU